CUGCAACAGCUGGGUCCACAUUUUGCCCACCCUGCAAAAAAAAUAAAUUAAAUAAUUAUAUAUUUAUAUUUUUUUAAUGUUUGCAUUUUUGCAGGGUGGGCAAAAUGUGGACCCAGCUGUUGCAG
rnacentral:miRNA from 1 species